rnacentral:rRNA from 1 species
GGUCGGUUUGGCCGGAUUUCACACAGGUGUUGCAUGGCUGUCGUCAGCUCGUGUCGUGAGAUGUUGGGUUAAGUCCCGCGACGAGCGCAACCCUCAUCCUUAGUUACCAUCAGGUUAUGCUGGGGACUUUAAGGAAACUGCCAGUGAUAAACUGGAGGAAAGUGGGGAUGAUGUCAAGUCAUCAUGGCCCUUAUGGAGUGGGCUACACACGUGCUACAAUGGUGAUUACAAUGGGCUGCAAGGUCGCAAGGCUGAGCUAAUCCUAAAAAAUCAUCACAGUUCGGAUUGUUCUCCGCAACUCGAGAGCAUGAAGUUGGAAUCGCUAGUAAUCGUGGAUCAGCGUGCCACGGUGAAUACGUUCUCGGGUCUUGUACACACUGCCCGUCACGCCAUGGUAAUUGGUUUCACUCGAAGCU